CCUUUGUACACACCGCCCGUCGCUACUACCGAUUGAAUGGCUCAGUGAGGCUUCCGGACUGGCCUAAGGAGGUCGGCAACGACCACUCAGAGCCGGAAACUUGGUCAAACUUGGUCAUUUAGAGG
rnacentral:rRNA from 1 species